rnacentral:rRNA from 1 species
GAUGAACGCUGGCGGCGUGCCUAAUACAUGCAAGUCGAGCGAACAGACGAGGAGCUUGCUCCUCUGACGUUAGCGGCGGACGGUGAGUAACACGUGGAUAACCUACCUAUAAGACUGGGAUAACUUCGGGAAACCAGAGCUAAUACCGGAUAAUAUAUUGAACCGCAUGGUUCAAUAGUUAAAGACGGUUUUGCUGUCACUUAUAGAUGGAUCCGCGCCGCAUUAGCUAGUUGGUAAGGUAACGGCUUACCAAGGCAACGAUGCGUAGCCGACCUGAGAGGGUGAUCGGCCACACUGGAACUGAGACACGGUCCAGACUCCUACGGGAGGCAGCAGUAGGGAAUCUUCCGCAAUGGGCGAAAGCUUGACGGAGCAACGCCGCGUGAGUGAUGAAGGUCUUCGGAUCGUAAAACUCUGUUAUUAGGGAAGAACAAAUGUGUAAGUAACUAUGCACGUCUUGACGGUACCUAAUCAGAAAGCCACGGCUAACUACGUG